GUUUUUCUCUCUCCCUCUCCCUCUCCCUUGCUGUCUCUCUAAAAUCAAUGAAAAACAUAUUUUAAAAAAAGAUACAGAGAAAAUUAGCAUAGCCCUGGCACAAGAAUGUCAUACAACUUCGUGAAGUAUUCUACAUUUUU
rnacentral:snRNA from 1 species